rnacentral:rRNA from 1 species
AGACCGAUAGCGAACAAGUAGAGUGAUCGAAAGAUGAAAAGCACUUUGAAAAGAGGGUUAAAUAGCACGUGAAAUUGUUGAAAGGGAAGCGCUUGUGACCAGACUUGCGCCGGGCUGAUCAUCCGGUGUUCUCACCGGUGCACUCUGCCCGGCUCAGGCCAGCAUCGGUUCUCGCGGGGGGAUAAAGGCCCAGGGAACGUAGCUCCUCCGGGAGUGUUAUAGCCCUGGGUGUAAUGCCCUCGCGGGGACCGAGGUUCGCGCAUCUGCAAGGAUGCUGGCGUAAUGGUCACCAGCGACCCGUCUUGAAACACGGACCAAG